rnacentral:other from 1 species
GCAUCCCUGCGCGGUUCGAUUUGUUGCGGCCUUUAUAGAAUCCUACUAAUCAAAUAUUGGGAGCUUGCGUCAGACGCCGGAACGCAGACCUCCCGCUUCGGCGGACGAAGGGAGUGCGAACGCGCCUGCAGGGCACCCACCUGCCUGUACCGGUAGGUUUUGAUUGGUUGCAGACGGCCGCGCGGGGUUUUU